rnacentral:rRNA from 1 species
GUCGAGAGGCUUCGGCAAUGGGGGAAACCCUGACCGAGCGACGCCGCGUGUGGGAUGAAGCUCUUCGGGGUGUAAACCACUUUUUUAAGGGAAGAAACCUUUGGAGACUAAUACUCUCCAGAAUUGACGGUACCUUGAGAAUAAGCUCCGGCUAACUCCGUGCCAGCAGCCGCGGUAAUACGGGGGGAGCAAACGUUGUUCGGAAUUACUGGGCGUAAAGGGCGCGUAGGCGGCUCUGCAAGUGGUGUGUGAAAUGCCCUGGCUCAACCAGGGAACUGCGCACCAAACUGCUGGGCUUGAGGGCAGUAGAGGAAGCUGGAAUUCCUGGUGUAGCGGUGAAAUGCGUAGAUACCAGGAGGAACACCGUUGGCGAAGGCGAGCUUCUGGGCUGUUUCCUGACGCUGAGGCGCGAAAGCUGGGGGAGCAAACAGG